CGCCCGCUCAGAAACUCAAAGGAAUUGACGGGGGCCCGCACAAGCGGUGGAGCAUGUGGUUUAAUUCGAUGGUACGCGAGAAACCUUACCAGGGCUUGACAUACACCGGAAGCGCCGUGAAAGCGGCGUGCCGCUUGCGGCCGGUGAACAGGUGCUGCAUGGCUGUCGUCAGCUCGUGCUGUGAAGUGUUGGGUUAAGUCCCGCAACGAGCGCAACCCCUAUUGCCAGUUGCUACCAGGUAAUGCUGGGCACUCUGGUGAGACUGCCCCGGUUAACGGGGAGGAAGGUGGGGACGACGUCAAGUCAUCAUGGCCCUUACGCCUAGGGCUACACACGUACUACAAUGGCGCAUACAAAGGGCAGCGAUACCGCGAGGUGGAGCCAAUCCCAAAAAGUGCGUCCCAGUCCGGAUUGCAGUCUGCAACUCGACUGCAUGAAGUUGGAAUCGCUAGUAAUUCGAGAUCAGCAUGCUCGGGUGAAUGCGUUCCCGGGCCUU
rnacentral:rRNA from 1 species